CGCUGGAUAGUUUUAAUGUAUGCAAUAUCUGGUAUUUCUACUGCCUCUGUUGUAAUUUCUUGUCGUACUUCCUCAGGCUUCUCUUCCUUAGGUCGUGCUUUUGACUCAAGGUCUACUAUUUGCUCUGUCUCUUCCACAACUGGCACUUCCUCCUCCUCUUCAGGUUUCUUCUUUUUCUUUGGCUUCUUUGGCUUAGGUACCUUGGCCAAUUCAAUUGUUUCUGUCUCUUCAACGACUUCCUCUGUCUUGUAUUCAACCUGAGCAAUUUCCUUGGGCCUUUCCAGAGAUUCAGUGAUGAUAUCAGUGCGCUGGAUAGUCUUAACAUCAGUGAUAUCUGGAAUUUCCACAGCCUCAGUCGUGAUUUCUAGUGGUUUUUCCUCUUUCUUAAGGAUAGUGAUUUCUUCAACUACAGGCUCUUCCUUUGGCUUCUCUUCCUUUGGACGUGCUUUCGACUCGAGGUCUACUAUUUGCUCUGUCUCUUCCACAACUGGUGCUUCCUCCUCCUCUUCAGGUUUCUUCUUUUUCUUUGGCUUCUUUGGCUUAGGUACCUUGGCCAAUUCAAUCGUUUCAGUCUCUUCAACUACUUCUUCUGUCUUGUAUUCAACAUGAGCAAUUUCCUUAGGCCUUUCCAGAGAUUCAGUGAUGAUAUCUGUGCGCUGGAUAGUCUUAACAUCAGUGAUAUCUGGAAUUUCCACAGCCUCAGUCGUGAUUUCUAGUGGUUUUUCCUCUUUCUUAAGGAUAGUGAUUUCUUCAACCACUGGCUCUUCCUUUGGCUUCUCUUCCUUUGGCCGUGCUUUCGCCGUGAGGUCUACUAUUUGCUCUGUCUCUUCCACAACUGGCACUUCCUCCUCCUCUUCAGGUUUCUUCUUUUUCUUUGGCUUCUUUGGCUUAGGUACCUUGGCCAGGUUAAUUGUUUCAGUUUCUUCAACUACUUCUUCUGUCUUGUAUUCAACAUGAGCAAUUUCUUU